rnacentral:lncRNA from 1 species
AUAAAUUACAUUUAUGAUCAUUAAAAUGUAUCCAAAUAAUCACUACAUAUUUUCUAACUAAAAUUUAGAUAAGAGACUACUAAUACAAAUUAAUCAUAUACUUAAUAAUAUGUAAAAAAUGUCAAAAAGCAUUACUUAAAUUUACAAAUACCUAAAUAUCAUAUCUGAAUGCUAAAUUAAAAAAAAUUAAAAUUGAUAAGUUAUUUUGAAAGAAGAUGCGGACCUGUUGACUGAUGCUUGGGUUUAAGAUUAGGAGUCUAAUCUCUUAAUUACUUGGGCCAAAGCUGGACUUUACAUGCUUCUAAUUUUUCCUUCAAUUUUUUUCCCUAUGGCUGGCUUCGGUACAAAAGCCCAUCUUCUGUUUAGUGCAGCCGCAAGUCCUUCAGUUUGUUUAAUGCACUUGCGGAUUCUUCCCUUCGGUUUGUUUAGUGCAGCCGCAAGUCACUGUGUGACGGCCCCACCUCCCCCUAAGGCAAACCAGAGGAUUCGGCGGGUCGCCUGCCCAACUCUCGCCAGGACUAACGGUUUGGUAUAGAAUGAGCUAAUACAUCCCGAAACUUACCAACGCGGGUAAAAAAAAAUAAAAAAAUAAAAAAAUCGAAGUCGGCUAUGAAUAGUAACCGACCCGUCAGAAUCCAACCAAAUAACAAGCAAACAUUCCCAUCUUGAAACUUAGCAUUUAUAAGCCAAAGUGGCAUACAAAAGUAUUCAAAAGUGGAUACAUGUCUGGUUUGCCAAAUCAAAAGGAAAACAGUUCCCAAAAGUACAUUUAAGAUUUUAAUACAUGAGCUAUACAAAAGAUAUGUUCAACUAGCUCAAUUUGGCAGCCAUUUGUCAAAUCCAGUCCAAAAGUAUUUAUUUUCCUGUAAGGAAAACAAAAGGAACAGAAAGGGGUGAGUUUGCGCUCAAUGAGGUACCAAACAUAUAGCAGAAAAAUCAUGACAUUUCACAUUUAACAAAUCAGAUACACAUGCCAGAUGUAAAGUAAAGUAACUAAUGAUUCACAUAGGAAGGAUACAGGUGGCUCUCAGGAGCCAAAUUUCCAGCGCAGUACUUGAUCCAAACCGGUUGACUCUCCGUCAUAUAGAACCAACGCGUCCGUAGACCCACUUCGCACCGAAUUCCGUCCACCAAACACCCCUUUACCGGGCCCGCUCACCUCAAACGAACAAAAUGGUAAUACUCGAGUAUACCCGGAAUCAAGGGUCUCAAUACCCAAAAUUUCCGAACAGACUACCGUGGUUCGUUAUCUAAUCGUCCAGACCCUUGCCGGCCCGACUCGAAUAACUUAGCCACAGGACUGAGCUCAUAGGUCAUAGAAAUCCGAACAGAUGCAGACACAGAUAACAGAUUCUAAUUUUGCAUAGUAAAUUGGCAUAUGAACAGACAAGAGAACGAGUGUGAUAAAGUACACACUCGUCUCAAACAAAUAAACAGAUUGCAGAGCAGAAAUCAAGUUAAACAGCAAUGGAGGGGAGUGGUACACUCACAGGCUCAAUUUCGAAAAGUUUCACUUCAGAUUGGCCUUAAUCGCCAAGAAAUCCUAAAAUAACCAAAAUAAACCAAUUGAAGGUUUCACAUCCAUAAUCGAGUAAACAAAAUGCACAUGAGGCUCGACUACUAGUCGUAUGCCUCGCCAAAUAAUUACUAAUGCAAGGGUACAAAACAUGAUUUUUGGGAACAAAAAGAUAGCAUAAAGACCUAGGUUCAACAACCCAAAAGCCCUUUUAUUUCUGCCAAAAGGCAAAUCCAACUUAAAAGAACCAAACGGCCUAGAAAAUCGGGCAGCACUUCCCCUAAAUUUCUUACUUUUCCAGCCAUUAAGGCUUCAUUAUUUCCUCGAAUCAGUCCAACAUCUCACACAAAAUUCACCUCAUUUCCAAAAGCCAUUCACUAGGCUCAAAGUAAAAGUUAACUAGGAAAUGACCGGAAUAAAAGUAAGCCUUAAAACAUACAAAAAAGUACAAUGAGACUCGAUAACUAAUCAUAAAUCAAUGCCAAAUAUGACCCCAAUAGGGUUCCAUAAGCAUAUACAAUCAUUAGAGAAAACCAGAAAAUUCGGAAUUGCAAUUAGCUUUGGCCCUGAAAAAACAGUUUUUGACUUCUUUUUUUACGGUAACGGUACCAAAUGCCCUAUGAUUAUCGGAUGAAGGUGUAAGACCCAUGAUUUCGAAGCUAAAAGAUAGGGCUACAACAUCACAGAAGGUCACUCAACCCAGUUUUGAGUGCAAAUAGGUCAAAAAUGCAAGAUACCACAUCAAAAACGUAAAACAGAUUCACCAAAACGCAUUCUAGCGGAAACAUCAUAACUCAGGCUCUACAAGUCCAAAUCCAGAAAUUCCAAAACCAACUGAAAUCUAAGAAACAGGGAUAAAUUUCAUCAGAAGGCCUCAACAACCAAUUCGGAAUCAAUUCAGACCAAAACACCCAAUUACAGUCGCAAAUCUCAAUUUCGGGUAAAACCAGAACAGCAAUAGUAAUUUCGACUUAUCUCAUUCCACACUAAUCCGAUUGACUUGAACUUUUGUAAGCACCUCUAAAAUGUUAUUCCCUACAACUUUCAUGUUUUGAGCUAAGGCCAAUUCAGCCUCUAUCUAUGACCUAAAAUUUCGGACAGAAUGAAGAACCAAGGAACCCUAAUUUUCCAGAUUUCUUCCAAACCCAAAAUUGGUUGCAAUUACCAAUCAUUUACACCUACUAGAGUUAUUAAACAUCAUUUCCAACCAUCAUGGACAGCCACAACAUCAUGAUCAAAUUAAACCAGAAAAAUCAUCAAUAAAUUAAAAACUUCACCAAUUCAUCUCAAACCAAGAAAUAAACCACAAAUUUCAGCACUUUAGCUCCCACUAGGCAUAACUUAAGCUUCAUUAAGUGUAGGAAGAAGUUCAAUCACCACUCACCUAGUGAACAAGAGAGGGAGAGUUUUAGGACACCUUAGCUCCUCCAAACACUUCACCAAACCACUAAACAACACCAAAUGAAGAGGUUUUAUGGAGUAGAAACAAGUUUAAGGGAUUGCUUGGGAUGAUUUGAGCUAGAUGGAUGCCAACCUUUGAAGAGUUUUCUUCCUUCCUUUGCUAGAGAGAGAGAGCCGACCAACAAGGAGAGGAAAAGAGUGAAUUUUUGGUGAUUUUUGGGGUAUUUAAUCAAUUAGUCAAAAAAAGUCAAAAGGUGAAUAGUUGUCCACCAAGUCCAACCAAUGGAAGAGUGACACUUGUCACUUCAUUAAAUGCAUUCCUAUCCCUUUCUUUUCCUCUCACAUCAAUCACUUCGCAUCCUCUACUUAUCUCUUAACACCCGAUAAAUUUCAACCAGUAUCCGAAAUUUAACCUAAUUGGCCGAAUUUUUCCGAACUUUUCGCACUAGUGGGUUCCACGUCCGAUAUAUAUCCUUAAUUUUUCAAAAACUCUCCAAUACUAGAAAAAUCAUCUAAAAACAUAAUUACUCAUAAUAUUCACCAGGAAAAUUUUUUUCCUAAGCCAGAAAAUGCAGAAAACAUGCCAUUAAAGGGGAUAAACCCUAGGAAAAUUAUUAAGAGGAAUUUAUGGGUUCUCACACUCUCUCCCCCUUAAAAGAAUUUCGUCCUCGAAAUUCCUUGAUAAGUGACUAAUUUACGUAAUAAUUGUAUGAUAUUUUAUAUUAUUUUUAGUCACUUUGGUUAUAUUAUUGGAAGAAUAUGAAUCAUUUUGGCUAUAAUUGGUGAAAAAUGCUUUUAAGUGAUUAAAUGAGGUUUUUAUCAUUUUUUAGUGGGAUUUUGUGUAUUUUGACAGUUUUGACACAUUUUCGUAUUUCGGCUAUAACUUGAGCUACAAUGAUCGGAUUGAGAUGAUUCUUGAACCAAUUUGAGGAUAAGAGAUAGAUCUACAACUUUGGUGAAGACAUCUAAAUCCAGUUUGAAGGUUUUCAAAAUCAAAAAGCCGAAUUACAUUAGCUAAUUUCUGUUGGUCGAAGCUGAAACAGGGCAAUGAGCAGGCAAGGGUAUUUUGGUCAUUUCUCAGCCUACACAGAUCCAAAUGAGGUGAUUCUUGAUGCAUUGGAAAUCUAACUCAAAGAGCUACAAGUUUCAUGUUUUGGUCAAGAGCUAAAUCAGCUUUUAUUAUCAAGAAAAGUUCGGUUGAAGUUGGGCCAAAAACAGAGCAAGUGAUCCACACUCGGAUCCACUAUUCAUCCGAACCCUCGGCUGUUUCUGGGUUAGUGGAUCCGAGGUACUGUAGCAGCUCGGAUCACUGUAGCAGCCCAGAUUUACUGUAGCAAUCCGGCCGGAAUUUGGCCGGAUUUGUGGCCGGAUUCCUGGCCGGAUUGUGGUCAGAGAAGUCUGCUUUUUACGCGGAAAACUCAAUUUCACCUCCACCAACUCACAUGGGAUGCUAUACAUGUGAGAAACAUUCCCAGCUGUAAAAGGGAGAUGUAAUCCUCAUUUCUUGACCACCUUUCAUCAUAAAAGAGCCAAAUUCAUUGCAAGAAGGAGGGGAAUAGAUAGCAGAGAAGAGGGGAUGAUAGAGUAAGAGAUAGAGAGACAUACGGGAGAAGCUUGGAGUCUGCAAAAAUGUAGCUCUUUCAUCUUCCUAGUAUUAGUUUAGCUUAGUAUAGAGUAGUGUAGCUUUUCCAUUCUUGUUUAUUAUCUAGAUUAGGAUGAAGAUGGAGGAUGAAGAAGGCAAGGAAGAAAGCUCAUGUGACAAGGGUUGUAUUCCUUCAAAACUCUUUAUCUUUUGUAUUUGAUUCCAAGUUUAGUUAAUAUACAAGUUCUGGAUUUUGUGUUCAUUAUGUGCUUCUAAAGUUUAUACCUUGGGUUUGGUUGAACUUUCUAUAAUUGUUAGUGUUUAUUAUUUGGUUAUUUGACUGCUAGUAUUUGAGCAAGUUAUUUAGCACUUUGGCUCUUGAAAUCAUGAUUAAUCUGGUACCAUUGAUUGUGAUUAUCUAAGGUGUUGUUUCUGCAAUGAAAAUUGAGAUUUAACACUAGUUCAAGAAGUGCUAAACAUAGGGAGUACACUCACGGAAGUAGAGAUGCACUUAUGUGGUUUUUAGUGAUUCAUUUCAUGUAAUUUCAUUGAAGAAAUGAACUUGUAGCUAAUUUCAUAACCAUGAAAAUAGGUAUGGAUUAGUUAUGAGUAUAGUUGAUUCACUACGAAAGUAGGUUUCACAUGUUUAAGGAAAUUACACCAUAAUUAGCUUAGAUGUAGUACUCAAUGAUCCAAAUAUAGCACUUGCAUGAGUAGUUAGGGAUACCACAACCUAAGGAGCUUUUAUUUGUUAUUUUAUAUAAUUUCAGUAGGUUAAAUUUGUUAUAAUUCAUUGAUAGUCUAAAUAAUAGAGAAGCUUUAGUAAUACCGGUAAUUGUUCACUCUUCCCUGUGGGAUCGACCCGAUAUAUACCCUAAACUACUAGUUGACCUGUAUACUUGCAGUGAACGGGUGUAAUUCGGUUUUUUAACUUGUACGUAUGUAAAAUACCCGUCAAGUUUUUGGCGCCGUUGCCGGGGAAGAUUUGGCAAUAUCGGUGUGAAGAGUAACUUUAUUAGUUUAGACAUAAUAUUAGUUAUAAUGUGAAUGUUAUUUUCUGUUAUUUUUGUAUUUUAUGUGUGUAUGUGUUUCAUUACCUAUUUUUCUUACUAAUUUUGCUUUUGAGAUUGUUUAAAAGCAAUUUUACGUAAUGAGAAAGGUAGGUCAAUUUGGAGGACAAUGCUUGAGAAGUGGAAGAUUGGAAAUGAAUGGUUACCAAGUGCAAAGCUCCUUCAAUAGAGGUAACCAAGAAUUUACUGAAUGUAUGUCUUUUGAAGAUGGUUUAAGGUGCUUAAAGACUAAAUUUGAUUUUAUGAUGUUGCAAGUUCAAAUGGACGCAAUUAUGCAUGAAAUUGAGGAAGGGAGGAAUGAUAAUGCUUUUAAUUCUUAUCAUGUGAUUUGUGACUUGUGUGGAGAUUAUCAUGCUACUAAUACAUGUAUGCAAGCACAAAAUGUGGAUUAUUAUGAUGAAUUAGAGCAUUACAAUCCUUGUUUUAAUCAAUAUAGUGCUAAUUGGAGCAAUUCUCCUGCUUAUGGUUGGGAUGAUCAAUGUACUUAUAGUGAUUAUUCAUGUUUUUAUGAUUACCAACCUAAAAGUGUCCAAUAUGAAUCAAAACCAUCUUGGGAGUUGGCAAUAGAGAAGUUAGCUAAUGCACCUCUGCCUUGGGAGUUAGAAAGUGAACCAUUAGCUAAUGAUUCUAAUGCAUCUUGGGAGCUAGCUGUAGAAAAUUUUUCUAAUCAAUUUGAUUUAGCAUUAGAAAAGCUAGCAAAUGCAACUUCCGAUCGUUUUGAUAGGAUUGAGGAAAAAAUAGAUGAAUUAGCUUCUCACUUUGGUCGAAUACAUGAGCAAUUGAGUGCAUUGUGUGAAGUUAUUUCCUCUAAUAAUGUGCAAAAUGAUCCUAGCAUGAAUGGUGGGAAUGUUGUAUGUGAAAAUGGGUUGCAUUUUGAUGAAAAUGAUGAAUCUCAAGAGUGUUUUAAUGAGCAAAUAUCCAUUUCACAUAAUAAUAUCUUUGGAACUAACUUUGAACCUCAAGAGGUGAGUUUUAAUGGCUCAAUUUUCACCCCUCUUGAGGAGUGUAUAAAAAGUACAGGUUUUAAAGAUAUGCCUGCUCAAGAUACUCUCAUGGCAUUCCCUUUGGUAAGUUCUCAAGUGGUGUAUAUUCAAGGUAAUAUCUAUGAAACACUUGGGAUAGGUAAGUCACUUCCAUUUCUCACAUCAUUAGAUCUUGUGGCUUUUGCUAUAAAGUCACCAUUUAAUGAUCCACCACGACCACAAAUGGUGGAUUAUUCGCUAACAAAGCCUCCUUGAAAAAAUGAGGAGAAAUAGUCAAGCUAUUGACUUUAAAGAAGCGCUUAUUGGGAGGCAACCCAAUGUUUGUUUAAGUUCAUUUUACUUUGGAGUGAUUUUAUGUUUAAAGUAUAAGUUUGAGUAAUUUUGUUGUUUUUCAUUUGUAGGUUUUGGAAAAGUGACCAAAUGAGGUGAAAAAGGCGAAGUUUGAUCAAAGAUCUCAAUACCUCAAAUUCAGUAAUUAUGAAUUUUGAUGCAUUAAAGAGGUUUAGAAUGCAUGUUUAGAUCAUUUUACAUGUGCGUGAAUGGUUUAUUUUGACAUAGAAAUGAUCUAGGGUGUAUUUUGAAGAAUUGAGGUCAAACUGAAAAUUGCAAAAAUUCUGCAAUAAGUGCAGAUUCAAUGGAUCCAAGGCCUCGGAUCCAUAUGGAUCCAAGGCCUCGGAUCCACUUCUGCAAUCAGAGAAAACUUCGAGCUUCUGGAUCCGAACUCGGAUCCAUAUGGAUCCAAGGCCUCGGAUCCACUUCUGCAAUCAGAAAAAAUUCGAGCUUCUUGAUCCGAGCUCACUCAUCAUGAUCCGACCUCGGAUCCUUUCAAAAACGACCUCGGAUCCUGUUAAAAACGAAGGCUUGGAUCACUUUUCAACUCCACUUUUCUUCAUGUUGGCUUGUUUUUAGUAAGUUUUAGUUGUUCGAUUAAUGUUUUUGUGUGUUUUGUAGGUGGCAAUGGCAAGAGUUCAUGCAAAUGAUCUCAAUUGCAAAGGUGUUUAUAUUAAGGCAAAAAGGGAGUUUUCAUGUUCAAUUGAUGCAUUUCAUGCAUUUAAGGUGUUUCAUGUUUAAGUUAUAUUCAUGCAUGAUCAUGUUAAAUUUGAAUUUUAUUCAAAAAACAUGAAGUAGGUUGAAUGUGGAAGGUUGGCCAAGCAAAUUUGGAGGAAAAACUGCAGAAAACAGCUUUUUCUGCAGCAAAUCCGGCCAUAAAUCCGGCCAAAUGUUGGCCGGAUUGAAGGCCGGAUAGUCAGGGGAGAAAAGAAAAUUUUUUCGAGCAUUCUGGACAGAAUCCGGCCGAAUAUCCGGCCUGAAAUCCGGCCAAAAACUGGCCGGAUUGUAAAAAAAAAAAAUUUUUAAAAAAAGCCCACUGUAGCAAAUCCGGCCGGAAAUCCAGCCAAAAACUGGCCGGAUAUGUAACAGUAAAAAAAAAAAAAAAAUUUCUGCCCAGAAUCCCUCCACGAAUCCCUCCAAUUUCUGGCCGGAUUGUGAACAGUAACCAGCGUAAGAUGAAUCCGUUUCACGGAUUCCUCACAAUUUUUCUCCCUUCUUCUUCAACCCAACUCACACACUAACACCUCAAACACACACCACUCAGUAAAACACCACUUUUCACCAUUUAGUCUUCAAAUAACCUUCACCAAAUCACUUUCUCCCAUCCUCUAGAGUGAAUUUCAUAGUUCAUAUUCUUUCAAAAACAACUCUAAAGUGGUUUCAAGCUUACCAUUAGUUAGGGUUCUACCUUCUUGAAAUCACUCAAUUGAGGUUAAAUUGGAGUAAGUUUCUUGGGGGUUUUCACAUCAUAUUCAUCUCUAAACAUCACCAAACCACCUUGAGGUAACAAUUCUUCACCUAACUUUGUUAUUUGAAUUUUGCCAUGAAUGAAUAUUUUCUAUUUUUAGGUAAUUUUUAAUAUGUGAAGUUAGGUGCAUUUAUUUGAGCUUAUUGAUGCUAUUGGUGAUUGUUAGUGAUAACUAUAUUUUGUGAUUUGCAUUUAUUGUACUUAUUUGGUGAAUUCUUGCUAGUUUUAUACUUAAUUUGGCUUGGGGACAAAGUUGCAUAUUAAGUAGCCAAAUGUAGCAUUUUAAUUAGCUUAGUGGGAGUUUUUUUAUAUUUAUGUGAGUAAUUUAGAUUAUCUAAUGAAUGAAAAGGUGCUUGAUUGAAUGAUUUCGUGAAUUCUUAGAUAAUUCUAAAAGAAGAGGUGAAUUGAAGAUGACCUUAAUUGAUGAAAUUCAUAAAUGCACUUACAAUUUUUGUGGUUCAAUAGUUUUUAGUAUUUCAUGAAUUCUCACGAAGGUCAUUUAUAUUUUGGUUCGGUGUAUUUGCCUCCAUUUUGAGAUUACUUUUGUACUUGCGGGGAUUUGAUCAUUGAUGACAAAAUGUAUAAAUGGAACUUAUUUUGUUCAUGAUUGUGGAUUUUUUGUGUGAAAUUAGCUUCCCUUUGCUUUGGAUACUAAUGCAUAUAUUUGAUUAGCAAGGAUUAGCUCAUUUCAUGUUUUUAUCCCUUGAACAUUGUAUGGUUCCACAUGGUUGAUCAUCUUUCCUUUUUCCUUGACUUGCAUGUUUUCUUUUUGUUGAUUGCAACCUUUUAUUUUUAAGAAAUUUAUUUGUUUUUAUUUUGUCUUUUUCAGGGUGCAACAAGUGAACUCUCCAUUCUUUCUCAAAUAUGGUUGGAAAUUCAUCACUUGGACAUGGAUUCGGAUUACGCAAGUUCAAUUGAGCAGUAUUUUCUUUUACUCUUCAUUUAUUUUCCUUUUCUCAUAUUGAGGACAAUGUGAAGUUUAAGUGUGGGGGAGGAAAGUAUUGAACUUGCAUUUACUUGCCAUGUGAUGAUAUUUUGGUGAUUUAAAUGCUUAGAAAUGUUGGAAUUAUGUUUGAAUUAUUUGCCAUGUGGAUAAUUUGCUUGAAAUUGGGUUUGUUGGCAGGAAGUUUUCAUCCAUUUAUAUGGGGAAACUCCGUCAAAAUUUUUUCUAAAACUUUUCCAAUAUUUCACUAUGGCCCAAAAGUUCUUCAAAUUCUUGCAUUUUCAUUCAAAAAGGGCCAAUUUGUUCCAACCUUAAGUGUUUAAUUCUUUCAAUUGUUGAAAUGUUAUAUGUAUUUUGGAAGGUUUAGUCCUCAUUUAACUUGGAAAUAGUAUUAUGCAAUUAGAAUUUUUACAUUUUAGAAAGUAUAUUCGGUAAAGUGAGGAAAAUUAUGCCUAUAAUUUUACAUGUUUAAUGAGAUUUCUUCUCUUUACUUAAUUUUGCAAGUAAGUGAUUGAUAUAGUCGAUAAAGGUUAUAUUCCUCCUUUGAUUAUUCUUAUAUAUUUUCUAAGAGGGAAUAUCUAUUUAUUGUCCUUUAUUUCUGAAAAAGAAAAAAAAAGUAGAAAAAAAAAGAAGAAGAAAAAAAAAGAGAAAAGAAAAGAAAGUAAAUAAAAAUUGUUCUACUCCAAUGAUUCUCGUACCGAGUAACCGGGGGUUGGCAUCUACAAAUGUCGACAUUCGCGUAAAAAGGUACUUGAAUUAAGAGUAUGCAUUAGCAACUUGAAUAAGUGAAAUGUUGAGUAACCGGGGAUCUUCACUUAAAAGUGUCGAUUUUCGGGUAAAAAGGCAUUCUCACUAUUUAAGUAAAAUUUGUGUGAAUAAAUCCCUCUUAGUUAUAGAAUUUUGAGAAAAAGAUGAUUAUAAGGAGGAGGAAAGCUAUAAAUUGACUAUGUGAUUUGCUUAUUUGUAAAAUUAAGUUAGGGUAAGAGAUUAAGUUUAACUUGUUGAAUUUAGGGUAUAAUUAUCUUUCCUUUACUUGAUAUUAUGAGUAUUUAGUGUAAAUUGAAUAAUUGUACAAUGAUUAUUUUUCAAGUCUUGAGGAAUUAAAUUGGACAGAGUGCAUAUAUUGUUUCACCUCUUGAAUCAUUGCAUUUGAUUAUGUGUGAAUUGCUUGAGGACAAGCAAUGAUUUAAGUGUGGGGGAGUUUGAUAAGUGACUAAUUUACGUAAUAAUUGUAUGAUAUUUUAUACUAUUUUUAGUCACUUUGGUUAUAUUAUUGGAAGAAUAUGAAUCAUUUUGGCUAUAAUUGGUGAAAAAUGCUUUUAAGUGAUUAAAUGAGGUUUUUAUCAUUUUUUAGUGGGAUUUUGUGUAUUUUGACAGUUUUGACACAUUUUCGUAUUUCGGCUAUAACUUGAGCUACAAUGAUCGGAUUGAGAUGAUUCUUGAACCAAUUUGAAGAUAAGAGAAAGAUCUACAACUUUGGUGAAGACAUCUAAAUCCAGUUUGAAGGUUUUCAAAAUCAAAAAGCCGAAAUACAUUAGCUAAUUUCUGUUGGUCGAAGCUGAAACAGGGCAAUGAACAGGCAAGGGUAUUUUGGUCAUUUCUCAGCCUACACAGAUCUAAAUGAGGUGAUUCUUGAUGCAUUGGAAAGCUAACUCAAAGAGCUACAAGUUUCAUGUUUUGGUCAAGAGCUAAAUCAGCUUUUAUCAUCACGAAAGGUUCGGUUGAAGUUGGGCCAAAAACAGAGCAAGUGAUCCACACUCGGAUCCACUAUUCAUCCGAACCCUCGGCUGUUUCUGGGUUAGUGGAUCCGAGGUACUGUAGCAGCUCGGAUCACUGUAGCAGCCCAGAUUUACUGUAGUAAUCCGGCCGGAAUUUGGCCGGAUUUGUGGCCGGAUUCCUGCCGGAUUGUGGUCAGAGAAGUCUGCUUUUUACGCGGAAAACUCAAUUUCACCUCCACCAACUCACAUGGGAUGCUAUACAUGUGAGAAACAUUCCCAGCUGUAAAAGGGAGAUGUAAUCCUCAUUUCUUGACCACCUUUCAUCAUAAAAGAGCCAAGUUCAUUGCAAGAAGGAGGGGAGUAGAUAGCAGAGAAGAGGGGAUGAUAGAGUAAGAGAUAGAGAGACAUACGGGAGAAGCUUGGAGUCUGCAGAAAUGUAGCUCUUUCAUCUUCCUAGUAUUAGUUUAGCUUAGUAUAGAGUAGUGUAGCUUUUCCAUUCUUGUUUAUUAUCUAGAUUAGGAUGAAGAUGGAGGAUGAAGAAGGCAAGGAAGAAAGCUCAUGUGACAAGGGUUGUAUUCCUUCAAAACUCUUUAUCUUUUGUAUUUGAUUCCAAGUUUAGUUAAUAUACAAGUUCUGGAUUUUGUGUGUAAUAUGUGUUUUUAAAGUUUAUACCUUGGGUUUGGUUGAACUUUCUAUGAUUGUUAGUGUUUAUUAUUUGGCUAUUUGAUUGCUAGUAUUUGAGCAAGUUAUUUAGCACUUUGGCUCUUGAAAUCAUGAUUAAUCUGGUACCAUUGAUUGUGAUUAUCUAAGGUGUUGUUUCUACAAUGAAAAUUGAGAUUUAACACUAGUUCAAGAAGUGCUAAACAUAGGGAGUACACUCACGGAAGUAGAGGUGCACUUAUGUGGUUUUUAGUGAUUCAUUUCAUGUAAUUUCAUUGAAGAAAUGAACUUGUAGCUAAUUUCAUAACCAUGAAAAUAGGUAUGGAUUAGUUAUGAGUAUAGUUGAUUCACUACGAAAGUAGGUUUCACAUGUUUAAGGAAAUUACACCAUAAUUAGCUUAGAUGUAGUACUCAAUGAUCUAAAUAUAGCACUUGCAUGAGUAGUUAGGGAUACCACAACCUAAGGAGCAUUUAUUUGUUUUUUAUUUGUUAUUUUGUAUAAUUUCAGUAGGUUAAAUUUGUUAUAAUUCAUUGAUAGUCUAAAUAAUAGAGAAGCUUUAGUAGUACCGGUAAUUGUUCACUCUUCCUCGUGGGAUCGACCCGAUAUAUACCCUAAACUACUAGUUGAUCUGUAUACUUGCAGUGAACGGGUGUAAUUCGGUAUUUUUUAGCUUGCACGUAUGUAAAAUACCCGUCAUUCCUUAUCAUUGACUACUCCGGGAUUCAAUUGAGCAUUAUACUUAGCUAACAGAUCUGUACCCCUUCACUGGUCAGGUUCAAUAAAUUAUUACUGUAACGGCCCCACUUCUCCCUAGGGCGUACCCCAGGGUAUCGGCGGACCGCCUGCCCAACUCUUGCAGGGACUCAGUCAGUCACUAUAAGAAAAGAUAAGAAAAUCCACAAAACAAUCGAAAUAACAAUAAUUCCAAACUUAAACGUGAACUUAUAUACAUUACUGUCUCAAUGGAAGUACAACUGUCAAAAUAUAGGUUCUCAAUUCACCAUACAACCAGCCCGUGCCAAGCACUAGGGCGAGAACCUUUACAAAAGAAACCAAAGUACUACAACGGCCAAUCUAUUCGUAGCCUCCGUCCUCGCACGUCUUCCCCUGCUAAGGAAAACAAAAAACUAAAGGGAUGAGCUGGAAAGCUCAGUGAGGUUCCGUACACAUAGGCAACAAGAGAAACAAAUGCAUGUAAACAACAAUUCACGAUACAAGUACAAUAAAGCGAUAAACACAUUCAUUAAAAGGAUACAGGCUCACAAGGAGCCAAUCGUUCAUUCAUUCAUUCAUUUUCCUUCCAUUCUCCUUCCUUCAAUCAUUUGAAAAUGCAUUUUGUAUAAGUAAAACCCCUCGUUCAUUCAUUCAUUCAUUUCAUUCACCCCGUCCCUGGCUUUUGGCCAGGCUCCACCAACCUACAGGGUAAUACUCGAGUAUACCGGAUCGUUCACCCAAGUUCCUAAUCGCUCGACCGAGUCCGACUGGCUCGAGACGACCGGUAACAAGGGGCUAUGGCCAGUUCAGCCCGAAGGCCUACAUUCAUGCACAAUUAACAUUUCAAUCGCUCAAUCAUUAAAAUUUCACAAUCAUUUAGGCUAAGUGCGGUAAAGUACACACUCGCCUCGAAAAUCAUUUUAGCAGUCAUUGAAAGCGUUUAACACGUUAUCAAUCAUUCAAACAAGCCAUAAAAUCAGGAAACAUAACAAAUAAGGAACACUCACCCAGACACGCAAAACAACGCCCACUUCUCAAUCACCAAGAAAACCUAAAAUGACAUAAAGACCACAUUACAAUCCAUCUAACAUGAUUUAGAUGAAAACAACAAAUACCCGACUACUCGCGAGUAAACAUAUAAAAGACCCUCAAAGUGUAAAGAGGGCACUUGGAUUCGUAGACAAGAAUAACCCUAAUGCAACCCAAACCAAGAAGGUUAUAAAAUCUCUAAGAGGAAACACUCACUCCAAACAAUUCGAAAUUCCAAUAGAGCUAAGAAAACAUUCUUUCGGAAUUGCGUAUGUGAUUCAAAAGCAUAUAUCUUCAAGUGGCCAAGAAAUGACCGAAGCCUUGAUGAAAAUCAUGCGAAAAAGAGGUCAAAAUACCUUAACUUCCACACUUAAAACCUUGCUUAGAAACAAUGCACUUAUGGCCGAUAUAACCCGAACUCCUACCUUUAUAGGUUGGAAAGGCUUAAGGAAUAUUUGAAGUUUGAAACGAAAAAGGUAUCAUGUUUUCAAAAGAUAAAACGGUCACAUUACUUGCCAAAAGACAAUAUACGAGUUCGAAUAGAAAUGUAGUCUUCGAACCCUUAUUCAAAAACCCGAAGACACUUCCAAGGAAAUACGUUCAAUAUGAUACAAAAUACAUUUCAAAAAAACCACUUUAACUUAUUCAUUUUACAAGAAAAUAAACGGACGGCAUGUCCCUUGUGUUUACCUAUUUUUCCAGCCAUUAAUGGCUUCAUUAUUUUUCUCAAAUUAGUCCCAACAUGUCAUAUAGAAUAAUCUCAUGUCCAAAAGCCGUUCACUAGGCUUAAAAUCAUAUAAACACAACAAUAACUACGAAAAGCAAGCUAGAAACAUUUUCAGAUAAAACAGUGAUUGACAACAUUUUGCGGAAAUGGCACUAAAGGCACUCCGAUUUUUGGAUUAGGGUGUAAGACCCACCGUCUCGAAGCUAAGAGAUAGGGCUACAACAAUGUAGAAGGUCACUCAGUCCAGUUUGUAGUGCAACUAGGUCAAAAAUACAAGACACUAGUUCAGAAUCGUAAGAGCAGGGGGACCAACCACGUUCUGGUUAAUGAGCCACAAUUCAGUCUACCUAGGUCCAAAUCCAUUGAUUCCAAAGCCAAAAGACAGCUAGGACAUCAGGCUACAUUUCUUCAGAAGACCUCAACAACCAGUUCAGAAGUAUUCCUAGCCAAAUUAGCUAAUUACAGAAGCAAGUCCCAAGUUCGGAUGAAACUAGGGCAGCACGGGUAUUUUUGACUUUUCUCACUCUACACUACUCCGAUUGACCCGAAAUUUUGUAGAAAUCCUAAAAUGUUAUUACCUACAACCUUUAUGUUUUAAGCCAAAGCUAAUUCGGCCUCUAACUAUGGUGAAUAGGGCCGGACAGAAUUGAAGGGUGUGACACCCUCACUUUUCCAAAUUUCCUUCUAAACAAAAAUUUCUUGCUAUUAACCUUCAUUUACAUUAACUAGCCUCAUUCUAUAACAUUCCCCUUCAUCUUACAUGGCCACAAAGACAACUUCAAAUGCAAAUAGAAAAAUCAUAAAUAAAUAUAAAGCUUCACCAUAAAUCAACCCAAAUCAAGAUAUAACUCACAAAAUGACAUUUUCAACUCUUACAAUUCACAAUUUAACCAUUAUCAAUGCAAGAGAGAACCUUCUUAAUCAUCUUACCUCACAACUCAAGAAGACUAGAAAUUCAAAGCUUCCCUUUCAAAAUCACUCCACCCAAAGCUUUAACCUUCCAAGAAGCUCACUUGUAUGGAGGGAAUUAAAAAUCUAUUGGUGAAGUUUCAAGAUUGAAGCAAAAAUCAAAGAUGAAGAUUGAAGAGUUUUUCUCUCUUUGCUCUCAAAGCUCACGGCUGGACAGGGAAGAAAUGAGAUAUUUUGGACCAAAAAGGUGGGAUAAGAAUGAAAGAAACAGCCGGUCAAAGCCUCUGACCGGCUGUGACACGUCACAAUCCGGCCAGAAUCUGGCCGGAUUUCCGGCCGGAUUCUUGGCCGGAUAUGAGGCAGAGGCUAAACAAAUUUUUUUUCAAAACUGCAGGGCAAUCCGGCCAGCUAUCCGGCCAGAAACUGGCCGGAUUUCCGGCCGGAUUUGGCCACCUCAUUUUUCCAAAAUUUUCUCUUCUUUUUCCGAAUUCGAUUGUCGCGUUCAACUGUACUUCUAACACAUACACAUACACAUAUCUCACACACAAAUGCACAUAACAAUGAACCUUCCAUUGUUUAACCAAAAGGGUUAACAAAUUUUCACUAAAAAUGGAGAAAAGAAAAUAAGCAAAAGGCCAAGAAAAUUGAGGGAAGUUAGGGUUCUCACAAUUACCUUCCACGUCCUCUAAUGGGUCAAAGACUUGAUGUUGUUCUAAGGAGUACACCCGAGAGGACACUUUCGAUCCAUAAACAUAAACAUAAACGAUCCACCGAGGAAUGGCCUUUCUAGUUCACCAAAUCCUUUCUAACCUAGGCCCUCAUAUCUUUCGUAUCAGGGCGCAAGAAUCCUAUCUAAAAUAAUUCACAGCUCGAGCCGGCCGGUCCCAAGAGUAAACCAUCCUUAUUAAAGAUUCCUACCCGACAUACAUAUCUAUUUUCCUCAAAUUUCAUGAAAAUAAUUUUUAAACUUAUAACAUGCCCAGUUCAUAACUUACGCUCAAACGAGCACUUAGACAUAUUCAGGAAAUCAAGACCAUAACACCACUGGCCCAAGCUCACUCCGCGCAGAGACCACGCGAAGUGGCUCUGAUACCACCUGUGACGGCCCCACCUCCCCCUAAGGCGAACCAGAGGGUUCGGCGGGUCGCCUGCCCAGCUCUCGCCAGGACUAACGGUUCGGUAUAGAACGAGCUAAUACAUCCCGAAACUUACCAACGCGGGUAAAAAAAAUAAAUAAAUAAAAUAAAAUCGAAGUCGGCUAUGAAUAGUAACCGACCCGUCAGAAACCAACCAAAUAACAAGCAAACAUUCCCAUCUUGAAACUUAGCAUUUAUAAGCCAAAGUGGCAUACAAAAGUAUUCAAAAGUGGAGACAUGUCUGGUUUGCCAAAUCAAAAGGAAAACAGUUCCCAAAAGUACAUUUAAGAUUUUAAUACAUGAGCUAUACAAAAGAUAUGUUCAACUAGCUCAAUUUGGCAGCCAUUUGUCAAAUCCAGUCCAAAAGUAUUUAUUUUCCUGUAAGGAAAACAAAAGAAACAGAAAGGGGUGAGCUUGCGCUCAAUGAGGUACCAAACAUAUAGCAGAAAAAUCAUGGCAUUUCACAUUUAACAAAUCAGAUACACAUGCCAGAUGUAAAGUAAAGUAACUAAUGAUUCACAUAGGAAGGAUACAGGUGGCUCUCAGGAGCCAAAUUUCCAGCGCAGUACUUGAUCCAAACCGGUUGACUCUCCGUCAACGUAUAUAGAACCAACGCGUCCGUAGACCCACUUCGCACCGAAUUCCGUCCACCAAACACCCCUUUACCGGGCCCGCUCACCUCAAACGAACAAAAUGGUAAUACUCGAGUAUACCCGGAAUCAAGGGUCUCAAUACCCAAAAUCCCCGAACAGACUACCAUGGUUCGUUAUCUAAUCGUCCAGGCCCUUGCCGGCCCGACUCGAAUAACUUAGCCACAGGACUGAGCUCAUAGGUCAUAGAAAUCUGAACAGAUGCAGACACAGAUAACAGAUUCAAAUUUUGCAUAGUAAAUUGGCAUAUGAACAGACAAGAGAACGAGUGUGAUAAAGUACACCCUCGUCUCAAACAAAUAAACAGAUUGCAGAGCAGAAAUCAAGUUAAACAGCAAUGGAGGGGAGUGGUACACUCACAGGCUCAACUUCAAAAAGUUUCACUUCAGAUUGGCCUUAAUCGCCAAGAAACCCUAAAAUAACCAAAAUAAACCAAUUGAAGGUUUCACAUCCAUAAUCGAGUAAACAAAAUGCACAUGAGGCUCGACUACUAGUCGUAUGCCUCGCCAAAUAAUUACUAAUGCAAGGGUACAAAACAUGAUUUUUUGGGAACAAAAUGAUAGCAUAAAGACCUAGGUUCAGCAACCCAAAAGCCCUUUUAUUUCUACCAAAAGGCAAAUCCAACUUAAAAGAACCAAACGGCCUAGAAAAUCGGGCAGCACUUCCCCUAAAUUUCUUACUUUUCCAGCCAUUAAGGCUUCAUUAUUUCCUCGAAUCAGUCCCAACAUCUCACACAAAAUUCACCUCAUUUCCAAAAGCCAUUCACUAGGCUCAAAGUAAAAGUUAACUAGGAAAUGACCGGAAUAAAAGUAAGCCUUAAAACAUACAAAAAAGUACAAUGAGACUCGAUAACUAAUCAUAAAUCAAUGCCAAAUAUGAUCCCAAUAGGGUUCCAUAAGCAUAUACAAUCAUUAGAGAAAACCAGAAAAUUCGGAAUUGCAAUUAGCUUUGGCCCUGAAAAAACAGUUUUUGACUUCUUUUUUUACGGUAACGGUACCAAAUGCCCUAUGAUUAUCGGAUGAAGGUGUAAGACCCAUGAUUUCGAAGCUAAAAGACAGGGCUACAACAUCACAGAAGGUCACUCAACCCAGUUUUGAGUGCAAAUAGGUCAAAAAUGCAAGAUACCACAUCAAAAACGUAAAACAGAUUCACCAAAACGCAUUCUAGCGGAAACAUCAUAACUCAGGCUCUACAAGUCCAAAUUCAGAAAUUCCAAAACCAGCUGAAAGCUAAGAAACAGGGAUAAAUUUCAUCAGAAGGCCUCAACAACCAAUUCGGAAGCAAUUCAGACCAAAACACCCAAUUACAGUCGCAAAUCUCAAUUUCGGGUAAAACCAGAACAGCAAUAGUAAUUUCGACUUAUCUCAUUUCACACUACUCCGAUUGAUUUGAAAUUUUGUAGGCACCUCUAAAAUAUUAUUCCCUACAACUUUCAUGUUUUGAGCUAAGGCCAAUUCGGCCUCUAUCUAUGACCUAAAAUUCCGGACAGAAUGAAGAACCAAGGAACCCUAAUUUUCCAGAUUUCUUCCAAACCCAAAAUUGAUUGCAAUUACCAAUCAUUUACACCUGCUAGAGUUAUUAAACAUCAUUUCCAACCAUCAUGGACAGCCACAACAUCAUGAUCAAAUUAAACCAGAAAAAUCAUCAAUAAAUUAAAAACUUCACCAAUUCAUCUCAAACCAAGAAAUAAACCACAAAUUUCAACACUUUAGCUCCCACUAGGCAUAACUUAAGCUUCAUUAAGUGUAGGAAGAAGUUCAAUCACCACUCACCUAGUAAACAAGAGAGGGAGAGUUGUAGGACACCUUAGCUCCUCCAAACACUUCACCAAACCACUAAACAACACCAAAUGAAGAGGUUUUAUGGAGUAGAAACAAGUUUAAGGGAUUGCUUGGGAUGAUUUGAGUUAGAUGGAUGCCAACUUUUGAAGAGUUUUCUUCCUUCCUUUGCUAGAGAGAGAGAGCCGACCAACAAGGAGAGGAAAAGAGUGAAUUCUUGGUGAUUUUUGGGGUAUUUAAUCAAUUAGUCAAAAAAAGUCAAAAGGUGAAUAGUUGUCCACCAAGUCCAACCAAUGGAAGAGUGACACUUGUCACUUCAUUAAAUGCAUUCCUAUCCCUUUCUUUUCCUCUCACAUCAAUCACUUCGCAUCCUCUACUUAUCUCUUAACACCCGAUAAAUUUCAACCAGUAUCCGAAAUUUAACCUAAUUGACCGAAUUUUUCCGAACUUUUCGCACUAGUGGGUCCCACGUCCGAUAUAUAUCCUUAAUUUUUCAAAAACUCUCCAAUACUAGAAAAAUCAUCUAAAAACAUAAUUACUCAUAAUAUUCACCAGGAAAAUUUUUUUCCUAAGCCAGAAAAUGCAGAAAACAUGCCAUUAAAGGGGAUAAACCCUAGGAAAAUUAUUAAGAGGAAUUUACGGGUUCUCACACACUGGAUUCUUCCCUUCAAGUUUAGCCAUUUCUUCCUCUGACUCUUCCUUUCAUUUUUUUUCCCAAUUUCCGUUGAUCAAUUUUUUCACCUCCUUCACGGCCAGAUAAGGUGGAAAUUGAAGAGCCGGCCGUCACCUUUACUCUUUCUUUUGCAUUCCCUUUUCCGCUAUUGUUGUCUUCCUCCAACAGCCUGCCGUCACCUCUGUUUUGAGCCGCAGCCGGACGAUGAAGAAAUUGCAGAACCAAUCGGCUUGUUUGUCCAGCCGGCCGUCACCUUUAUUCUGGAGUGAACCUCAAAAACUAGUGAUGGAUUGCAGAAAUUGCAGAACAAUGAAGAAUUUCAGAACGAUGAAAAAAUUGCAGAAAUUGCAGAACGAUGAAGAAAUUGCAGAAAUUGCUGGUAUGCUUCUCUUUAUCCCCACUUUUUCCUUGUCUUUGUGGCUGCAAAAUGAAACAAUAAAGCAUGGGAAAAGGCUGCAACACCGUGUGGACCACCCCUUGUAAUUGUAGUUUUGUUUGGUUUUGUAAAAGGCUCUGCAACUGUGGUGCGAUGCCUUGUGUGUCCUUUCGGCGUGUUCUUUUUUUGUUUGGUUUUGGCUUCCCAGUUGGUAUGUAAACUUGUUAGCCGGUACAUAUCCGAGUUGAAUCCGAAAAAUUGAUCGUUAUCUUGCUACACGGUGCUAAUUCGGACGAUAUCGGCUGAUUCAGAGUGAUUCAAAUCGGAUAUGGUGUAAUCGGCGUUUCGGGUAUCGGUAUCGGAACGGCAGGUGCCGUUCCGGUUAUGACUCGGCCGAGUCGUCUCGGACUCGGCCGAGUUGGCGAACCCUGCUU